GUUCCUUGAUAGUGAUGUUGCCUGUGAGCAAAGCAAGAAGAUUUUGAUUACACACCAACAACAACAACAACAACAACAACACCAGCAUUCAGGACCCAUCCACUUGAAAGGUACCUGAGGUACAGAAAAACUACACAACUAUAUUACUGCACAUGGCGUAGACCUCAUCUGAAUGUGUGACAACCUAAACUCUGCUGGAGAAAGCAAGAUCCUUCUACACCUGCAUCUGGUGACCUCACUUCCUGGCUCCAAACUCGUCACCAGCUCCCUCUCAGCUCUGAAACUGAGUGCAGACCUCAGAGAAGAGGAGGCAGCUCCCCAGAAAACUUCAUGACUUUUGAAGAAGAGAUAAGUGAAAAUAGCCGAGGUCUUCUUCCCCAACAGGAUUGAAAGGAUGAAUGGUACAAUGUCCGUGAAGCGUCUUGAUCUCCACAAGCAACCUUGCAGGCCCUCCGCGGGGAAGCCUGCAGCCUACUUCCCUUUUAACUUCCGUGAGCUCUCCCAUCCCCAGUGACUCAUCCUCCUAAGCACACUGUGUCUAAGAGUCGGGAGAAAAUACUAUUUGAAGUUUGGAUUCAGCAUCAGGCAAAAUGAGAUUCAGAACCUAGAGCUACCUUACCUUCUUUGAACUCCAUCACCAGUUGAAAUAUUCUAACCAAAAUGUUUCCCUGCCUUUCUGCCCUCUGCCUUCCUUGCUCCCAAAAAAUAUGGGGUGCUUGAGCUCUGUGUUCUUGUUCUCAGUAGCACAUGGCUACAAGGGCACUUUUCUCUCCCUGAAGGCUAGAAAAAUAGGAGUUGAGCAAAGGGGGGAAAAAAACAACAAUCUGAGCAGUAUCUCCAUUUGUCCUGUAUUGUUCCUCA
rnacentral:lncRNA from 1 species